AUUGAACGCUGGCGGAAUGCUUUACACAUGCAAGUCGAACGGCAGCACGGGGCGAACCUGGUGGCGAGUGGCGAACGGGUGAGUAAUACAUCGGAACGUGCCCAAUCGUGGGGGAUAACGUAGCGAAAGUUACGCUAAUACCGCAUACGAUCUACGGAUGAAAGCGGGGGGAUCGCAAGACCUCGCGCGAAUGGAGCGGCCGAUGUCAGAUUAGGUAGUUGGUGGGGGUAAAGGCUCACCAAGCCGACGAUCUGUAGCUGGUCUGAGAGGACGACCAGCCACACUGGGACUGAGACACGGCCCAGACUCUACGGGAGGCAGCAGUGGGGGAAUUUUGGACAAUGGGCGCAAGCCUGAUCCAGCCAUUCCGCGUGCAGGAUGAAGGCC
rnacentral:rRNA from 1 species